UCUCGCUCACAGCAACCGGCGACAUCACUCUCACUACUGCAGCUCAGCUCAGCUCAGCUCAGCAAGCAAAUUGUUCGAUCGAUCGUCGUCGACUAUGGCCGCCGCCUCCUCCUCGCAGCAACCACCGCGCCUGCUAGUACUCGUGGCGGUCUCGUGUCUCCUCCUGCAGAGUGCCAUCACCAGCAGCUCGGCGGAGUCGUCGAUGCAGUGCCACGAGGAGGACCAGGAGGCGCUGCUGGCCGUGAACUCCGCGCUGGGCAGCCCCUACCACUUCGCGUCGUGGACGCCCGACACCUUUUGCUGCGACUGGUACGACGUGGACUGCGACAACGUCACGGGCCGCGUCGUCGGCCUCACCGUGUUCGGCGACGGCAACCUGACGGGCGCCAUCCCGGACGCCAUCGCCAACCUGACCAACCUCCGCACGUUGGUCCUGCGCCACCUCCCGGGCAUCUCCGGCGGCAUCCCGGUCUCGCUCGCGCAGCUCGCCAACCUCACCCAGCUCACCAUCUCCUCCACCGGCGUCUCCGGCCCGGUGCCGUCGUUCCUGUCGCAGCUAACGGAGCUCACCCUCCUAGACCUCUCCUUCAACUCCCUCGACGGCGCCAUCCCGGAGACGCUCGCCGACCUCCCCGCCCUCUCCAGCAUCGACCUCAGCCGCAACCGCCUCUCGGGCCCCGUCCCGCCGCUGCUCCUAAGCAAGUACGUCGACGACCAGGCGGCGUACCUCAUGCUGUCGCACAACAACCUCUCCGGCAGCAUCCCCGCCGGGUUCGCCUCCGUCAGCUUCGCGUACCUGGACCUGUCGCGCAACGCCUUCGCCGGCGACGCGUCGGGCGUGUUCGGCAAGGGGAAGCCGCUGCAGCACUUGGACCUCUCCCGCAACGGCUUCGCCUUCAGCCUCACGGCCGUGGACCUGCCGGAGCAGCUGGCGUACCUGGACCUGAGCCACAACGCCAUCCGCGGCCGCAUCCCGGCGCAGGUGGCCGACCUCGCCGGGCUGCAGCUGUUCAACGUCAGCUACAACAAGAUGUGCGGCGUGGUGCCCACGGGAGGGAGCAUGGCCAAGUUCGACGCCUACAGCUACCAGCACAACAAGUGCCUCUGCGGCACGCCGCUGCCGGCAUGCGGCCACCGUUACUAUUGAUCGAUCGAUCCAUCCAUCUAUCGAUCAUGAAAGUGUCAUGCUUGUUCUUGUGUACGUUCCAGCAAGGUAAAGUACAGUUCCAGGCAAGGUAAAGUACACUUCCAGCAUUGGAUCGAGCUGAGACUGAGAAGCAACUAUAGCCAGUGUGGUGUGGCAGUGAAUAAUAAUGCAUGGUUAUCUGUGCCUGCUAGCUAGGCAUAUAGACUGAUUAAUAAGCUCAAUGCAUAAUGUACUAUAUAUAUAUAUGUGAGUCUCUCUUCCAAUCGAGUACCAGCAAUAAUAAUAUAUUAUAUUGUUGCUUCAGAAAAUGCUCUUGCAGCAGCCCACAUCUUCCAUGUGAUUCUU
rnacentral:misc_RNA from 1 species